rnacentral:lncRNA from 1 species
UAACAAAUUAAGAAAUGUUCAAUGUAUAAUAUAGAACAGAGACGUGAGGUUACGACAAGCUCGAACGUCUUAAGCUUGAGAGCAGUUUAAAUUUGUUUUUCCCUUGUUCAAUGUAGUCGAAUCUAUGGAGUUUAGGUCACUGUUAUGUACUAGAUUAAACAUUCUUUAAAGGAAAAUGACAACAGUUCUCAUUUGAAAGAACGUUGAGAUUAUUUACAAAUUCUUUUUUCAAAUAUUCCCAAACGACCUUAAUUUUUGAGUUAUUUGAAACCAAAACAUUCUGGUAUCCGCCAUCGUAGAUUUAAUUAAAUGAUGUCACAAUCAGGGUAGACAUUUUUAAACUAAAAAUAAUAUCAGUGGAAUGCUUAUACAUAGCUUGAACCAUAGAUACCUUAUAUACACUAGAUAACGCAUCUCUUUUAGUAAAAUUGAAGCCAAGAAUAUUCCAGCGGUUACCCCCAUUUGAAUAGAUGGCGGCCAUGUUGGUAGUUCCCACUCGCUAAUAAACGCUUAAAAACGACAAUAACUUUCAUCAUUUGAAUAGUUUAAAAAUGUAUUUGGAAUAGGUUUAACUUAAUGUUUAAGUUCCUUGCUUAAAAAAUAGAAAACAUACGUAUCUUCUCAUUUCAUGGGAAUAUCCUGAGCCUGAAUGUGCAAUCACGGCUUCAAUUUUUGAAUUGCAGAAUUGUAUAUAAGAUAUCUAUGGCUUGAACAUAAUCUAUCAAGGUAUGAUGGUCUGGCAACUAUACAAGGUGUCCCAAAAAAAACGAAAACUGUUGAAAUCACUUAUUGUUAAAAUUGAAUGCCCUACCAAAAAGCUGAACGUAAUGAUGCGUAAAAUAUUGACAAGGUGCAUGUAUUAAAAUUUAGUUAAGAACAUCUCCUUGUAAAGUGCGCGAGUUUCUGCUCCUGGGAAUUUAAAGCAGCUUCUUAAACAGUUUCUUUAUGCAUAAAAUUUACUUAUGUCAAUCAUUUAUGCACUCGUGGGAACCAACAGAGCGCUAAGGCAUUCAAAUUCUAACAAUUAAAUUGUUAUUGGUGAUUUCAAUAGUUUUCGUAGCUUUUGGGACACCCUGUACAUAGGUCAUUGUUUGAUGUUUUUGUCGGAGUUUAUGUUAAUUUGUGCAUGGUCACGGUGAUUGAGCUCAUUGUAUUUUCGUAUAAUGAAGUAACCAUCCAAUUGGGAUAGUUGAGAUGAAACGAGCAACCAGGAUGAAUAAUAUUUAAUGAAGUUGAGACAAAGGAUUUGUGCAUGGUGAGGUAUAGUUCAACAUCAAACAAAGGUCUUCUAUUUUGUGGCUUUGAAGUUUGCCACGCUUACAGACCAUCAUAUCCUGAUCUGUCUAUGGCUUGAAGUUUAAUUUACAAUAGACGGUAUUUAAAUAUAGCAAUUAGCAUUGAAAUGACCUGAGAUACAAAAUAAUGUUACCCCGGUUGUGACGUCACGCAUAUCCGACGUGGAUAUGCAUAUCCAAGAUGACGGAAUGCAUAAGUAUUUUGUUUGAAAUGAAAUGAAAUGCAAUAUAUUUUAUACCAAAAACGAUAAAAAAAAUCUGUGGUAAGAUUUUGAAAUUGUUGGAUCACUCUUUCAAACGGAUGAAACGUAUUGCUAUUUCCCUUUACGUUCGCUUAUUUCUGUUCAGUUGCGGCAAAAUUAAUUUGAACUUGCCGUUGAAGCUAAUGAGAGUUGAUGAUAGUUAGCGCUCAAACUUGAGCGAGUCACAAAUCUAGUGAACUUUAAACAUAUCUAAUAUUAUAGACUGCAGAACAUUCAAGAAUGUGAAACGUAACUAAUUUUACAACUUUUAAAAUUCACUAUCUACUUAAUAUGAAUCGAAAUAAAAAUGAUCAUUG